UGGUGGGUUGGUUUCCACUCCUCUGA
rnacentral:piRNA from 1 species